GACGAACGCUGGCGGCGUGGAUUAGGCAUGCAAGUCGAACGAGAAAGUCCCUUCGGGGGCGAGUACAGUGGCGCACGGGUGAGUAACACGUGGAUAACCAACCCUCGGGUGGGGGAUAACAGUCCGAAAGGAUUGCUAAUCCCGCAUAAGACCACGGCAGCUGCGGCUGCUGAGGUAAAAGGCGCUUUAUUGAGUCGCCUGAGGACGGGUCCGCGUCCCAUUAGCUAGUUGGCGGGGUAAUGGCCCACCAAGGCGAUGAUGGGUAGCUGGUCUGAGAGGAUGACCAGCCACACUGGGACUGGAACACGGCCCAGACUCCUACGGGAGGCAGCAGUGAGGAAUCUUGCGCAAUGGGGGAAACCCUGACGCAGCAACGCCGCGUGAGUGAGGAAGGCCUUCGGGUCGUAAAGCUCUGUCAGAUGGGAAGAAAUAGGGUGGGGGCGUAAUAUCGCCCAUCCUUGACGGUACCGAUCAGAGGAAGCACCGGCUAACUCCGUGCCAGCAGCCG
rnacentral:rRNA from 1 species